AACACAUGCAAGUCGAGCGGCAGCGGGGAAGUAGCUUGCUACUUUUGCCGGCGAGCGGCGGACGGGUGAGUAAUGCCUGGGGAUCUGCCCAGUCGAGGGGGAUAACUACUGGAAACGGUAGCUAAUACCGCAUACGCCCUACGGGGGAAGGCGGGGGACCUUCGGGCCUUGCGCGAUUGGAUGAACCCAGGUGGGAUUAGCUAGUUGGUGAGGUAAUGGCUCACCAAGGCGACGAUCCCUAGCUGGUCUGAGAGGAUGAUCAGCCACACUGGAACUGAGACACGGUCCAGACUCCUACGGGAGGCAGCAGUGGGGAAUAUUGCACAAUGGGGGAAACCCUGAUGCAGCCAUGCCGCGUGUGUGAAGAAGGCCUUCGGGUUGUAAAGCACUUUCAGCGAGGAGGAAAGGUUGGUAGCUAAUAACUGCCAGCUGUGACGUUACUCGCACAAGAAGCACCGGCUAACUCCGUGCCAGCAGCCGGUUAAU
rnacentral:rRNA from 1 species